AUUGAACGCUGGCGGCGUGCUUAACACAUGCAAGUCGAUCGGUAACAGGUGUAGCAAUACAUGCUGACGAGAGGCGGACGGGUGAGGAAUAUUUGGGAAUCUGCCCAUCAGCGGGGGACAACCCGGGGAAACUCGGGCUAAUACCGCAUACGCUCUACGGAGGAAAGCCGGGGACCGCAAGGCCUGGCACUGAUGGAUGAGCCCACAUCGGAUUAGCUAGUUGGCGGGGUAACGGCCCACCAAGGCGACGAUCCGUAGCUGGUCUGAGAGGACGAUCAGCCACACUGGGACUGAGACACGGUCCAGACUCCUACGGGAGGCAGCAGUGGGGAAUAUUGGACAAUGGGGGAAACCCUGAUCCAGCGACGCCGCGUGGGUGAAGAAGGCCUGCGGGUUGUAAAGCCCUUUCGGUAGGGACGAAAGCUCUCGACCUAACACGUCGGGAGGUUGACUUAACCUACAGAAGAAGCACCGGCUAACUCUGUGCCAGCCGCCGCAGUAACAC
rnacentral:rRNA from 1 species